rnacentral:rRNA from 1 species
UACGAAGGGGGCUAGCGUUGCUCGGAAUUAUUGGGCGUAAAGCGCACGUAGGCGGCUUAGCAAGUCGGAGGUGAAAUCCCUCGGCUCAACCAAGGAAGUGCAUCCGAAACUGCUGAGCUUGAGUACGAAAGAGGAUCGCGGAAUUCCCGGUGUAGAGGUGAAAUUCGUAGAUAUCGGGAGGAACACCAGUGGCGAAGGCGGCGAUCUGGGUCGAUACCGACGCUGAGGUGCGAAAGCGUGGGGAGCAAACAGG